GAUAUGGUGAGGUUGCUGAGCCAGCUACUAAGGACAAGAACUUCAGUUCCACACCAAAGCGUGAAAAGAACCUAAAAAGCAUUGGUAUGAUUAAUAAACAGAGGAUGCCAGC